GCGAAACAUCCAGUAACGGAACCUCUUGACCUCGUGAGGAAAAGAAGGAAAAAAAAACUACGCCUGACCAGACAUCGCCUAUGCGCGCCAUCCCUGCUCGGCCGUCGUCCACGCCUGCUUCCCUUCCCUCGCCGCGCUGCUCGAGUUUCGGAGCUGGUUUCCUCCCCUUCCCCUGCUUGCCUCGUUCGAUUUGUAGCGCUUCUCCAUUCCAUGGUAGCUAGGAUUUUGGGUUUCAGCGCUGGUUUUCCUUCACCUCCCCUCCUUGCCUGGUUCCAUUUGUGGCGCUCCUCCGCUCCAUGGUGGUUCGGAUUUUGGUAUUGGAGAUUGUUUCUACCGGUUGCUGAUCUGGGGAUUUCCUUUCCUUCGUCGAUUUCAUCUCUCCUAAUGUGGUUGCCCCCUUACCAAGUUGAAUGAAUUUGGGAAUACUUUUCUCGUGAAUCAAUUUGUUUCUCUUCCCCCAUCCCUGGUCUGGUGGGCAAGAUUUGUGUUUUCCUUUUCCUUCUUUUCUCUCUUCCUCUGGUGUUGCCCAGUAUUUCUUAUGCAGUGACAUGUUCGUGGGAGGAGUCCUGCUCGUCCUGAUUGAGAUUGAACAGCUGGUUUUAUUUGGCUAUGAUCUUUUGCUUUGUGCUCAAGGUCCAGACUCCCUGUGAAGAUUUGAUCGCAAUAUCUUGGCGCACAGCUUGGAUUAAUGAUGGCAAUUUCUGAAGAAGAAAAAUCCUGUGGAAAAACAUGUUGACAUGGUAGUAGUCACAUGUAUGGUUUGUUUUUUCAUACUUCUACCCUACUUUUCCUUAAGGAGUAUCUUAACCCUACUUUUUGAGUAGCAGAAAAAAACGCGGAUUCAUGUGCAUCUGCAUCGGGUUCUUAAUGUUUCUUGUUUCUUGGUCAAUUGAUUUUUUUUGUUAGCUAGAUGCAGUCCACUAUCUGCUGAAUCCGUCGUUGUGUCUGGUGCGCCGCUUUAAUCUCUGCAACUUUCCUGCUGGGUGACUGAAGAAUUGUGCAUUUAAAGUGAAUUGUAUGGCUACUACGUCUCCAGUCCAUCAGAUAACCUUGACGCCCUUGUAUAUUCAUGGCCUCCUCCUCAAUCAUUUCUUCUUCAUCCAUUAACACAUUCCCUAUUUACAUGUAAAUGACUGUUUAAAAUUCUAGAAUGGCUAAUUCCCCUUUUAAUAUUCUGACAAUUACAUGUCAAAUAAUUUUAAACCACUGAAAUCUUUAUAACAUUUUUUAUUGUUUGAAAUUGAUGUGCAGGCCACAUGCCUGAUUGAAGCUAUAUAAAACUUCAGCUGAUAAAAAUUGGGGAUGCCUUGACUAAGGUCCAUAUUUCGCACUGAAAAAGGAUACCUUUCUCCUCUACAAAUUCAAGUUAUUCACACUCAACUAUAUCUGGGAUGUUUUCUAUUGUCAAUUUGGUUGGAUAGAAUUGCAAAUGAGUUAAGCAUCUAAAAGUUAGUAUGCUUUUGGUUCUAUGAACAGCAGCUAUCUGGUCAUGCAUGUCACUCACUCCUAAAAAAUUCAAAGCUUCCGUGCCUUCUGCACUUGGGUAAAAAUCUGUCCAUAUGUUAUCUCUUAUCUGUAAUCAAGCAAAUCCAAUAAAAUUUAAACCUUCACUGGGUUUUCUUUUGCUUGAAGGUUCAUACAUUUUGUUGCAGACAUAAUUUAAUUAAAAUAUAAAACAGAUUUAAGUAUAAUUUUCAUUCCUGCAUUUAUACUCUUACCUUUUUUCAUUUGCAAAGAUUAUGCUUUGUCAAUGCCUACAAUGCAUGGAGUUCAGGAAAAAGGGGAAAUAGAAAAGGUACAUUUGAGGACCUUAUCUGUACAAUGUUCA